rnacentral:rRNA from 1 species
AUAAAACCAUUAGACACAUCAUUAUUUAAUCAUCCCUUGGCAUCAUUCAUGAAUUUAGAGCCUACCUCAAUCGAUUUAGCAACUUAGGAGGGUGAUUUGAUCGAUUUGGAGGGUUUCUGGCAAACUCAGGCUGAGUGGUCGCGCCCCUUGGAAAAACGCACUGCAGAGAUGGCUCUGAGUGGUCGCGCCUCGCCCAACUGGUCGCGCACCUGGUUCGAGUGGUCGCGCCCCUUGGAAAUGAACCCAAUUGCUGCAAAUCGCCUUCUUUGAGCUCUCUCUUGUCUUUGCAAACUCUCAAAUGCAUAAUGAGACAUGUUUAGAGGGAAUUUAGUCUUUGUAGGCCCAAAUUUGAAAAAUUUAAAUCACCAAACCCACUUUCUAAUGUUUUUUUUUUUUGACAUUCACUUUAACACUGUUUUAAGUUCACUUUGCCUAAAUUUGAUCUUUUGAGUGUUUUAACUUCGUUCUUUUUGCAGGUUGACUAUCUGAUGGACUCUGGCGAGGAAACCAGGGUUAUUGCUGGCAUUCUGAAGAAUUUUGAAAAUUUUCCUGAUUUUUGCAAAUUUCACAUGACCUUGGGUUUAAAAACAGAGUUUUUAAAUCCAAGGUAUAAAUGAGCUGUAGCUGAUGAAAAAUAUCAAUGGAACAUAUUUACAUACCUCCUUCCGGCUUGCUGGGGACUAUUAGACCUUUGACUCAUGACCUUGCAGUGAUUUUUGACCAAAACCCUAGACCUAAGACUUGGGAUUUCAAGAAAAAAAUAAAACAAGUGUAACACAAGCUCAUUUAAAUGAUAUGAUCUGAUCCAGCAAAGCCAAGAAGGGAACAAGGACCAGCUCCUCCAUCAGUUUUAUGGCAUGCCUAACGGGAUGCAAAACCGAUACUGAUGAGACACCUACCUAUGCACACGCAAAGAGGUUUUGAUCACCGAUGGAGGGCUCAAGACCGACACUAACAGUGGCCAUGGAAUUCGAAAUCCACUAAGGAGUGUGUAACAACUCACCUGUCGAAUCAACUAGCCCCGAAAAUGGAUAGCGCUGAAGCGUGCAACCUAUACUCGACCUUUGGAGUAAUUUCCUAGCUCUGAUGAGUAGGAGGAUGUGGGGGUCGUUGAGAAACCUUGGGCGUGAGAUUGGGUGGAUCGGCCCCUGGUGCAGAUCUUGGUGGUAGUAGCAAAUAUUCAUAUGAGAACUUUGAAAAUUGAAGUGGGGAAAGGUUCCAUGUGAACAAAACUUGGACAUGGGUUAGUCGAUCCUAAGAGAUGGGGAAGCCUUGUAUCAAGGGUUUACUCUGCACGAGCAUCGAAAGGGAAUCGGGUUAAUAUUCUCGAACCAGGACAUGGCGGUGGGUGGCAACAUUAGGAAAUCCGGAGACGUCGUCGGGGGCCCCGGGAAGAGUUAUCUUUCCUUUUUAACAGCUUUCCCACCCUGGAAUCGGUUCACUCAGAGAUAGGGUCUAGUAGCUGGAAGAGCACCGCCCUUAGUAGCCCUUAAUGGCCCUUGAAAAUCUAGAGGACCGAGUACUGUUCAUGCCCGGUCGUAAUCAUAACCACAUCAGGUCUCCAAGGUGAACAACCUCUGGUCAAUAGAAUAAUGUAGGUAAGGGAAGUCGGCAAAAUGGAUCCGUAACUUCGGGAAAAGUAUUGGCUCUAAGGGCUGGGCCUAGGGGUCUGUGCCCUUAACUCGUGGGAUGUCGGCAGUCUGUCCGAGUUGCUCUCACGGCAAGGGUGGGUAGUCGCGUGCCAAUUGGGCUACGGGAGUAGAAUGCCCCCUGCCGGGGGCUUUUCCCUAGGCGUCGAAUAUUCGACUCAAAACUGGUAUGGACAUGGGGAAUCUGACUGUUUAAUUAAAACAAAGCAUUGCGAUGGUCCCUACGGAUGCUGACGCAAUGUGAUUUCUACCCAGUGCUCUAAAUAUCAAAGUGAAGAAAUUCAACCAAGCGUGGGUAAAUGGCGGGAGUAACUAUGACUCUCUUAAGGUAGCCAAAUGCCUCGUCAUCUAAUUAGUGACAUGCAUGAACGGAUUAACGAGAUUCCCACUGUCCCUAUCUACUAUCUAGCAAAACCAUAGCCAAGGGAACGGGCUUGGUAGAAUCAGCAAGGAAAGAAGACCCUGUUGAGCUUGACUCUAGUCUGACUUUGUGAAAUGACUUGAGAGGUGUAGAAUAAGUGGGAGCCAUUUUCGGCGCAAGUGAAAUACCACUACUUUUAACGUUAUUUUACUUAUUCCAUGGGGCGGAGACGAGGCACUGCCCCUGUUUUUUGCCUUAAGGCACAUUUCGGCGGGUUGAUCCAGGCGGAAGACAUUGUUAGGUGGGGAGUUUGGCUAGGGUGGCACAUCUGUUAAAAGAUAACGCAGGUGUCCUAAGAUGAGCUCAACGAGAACAAAAAUCUCGUGUGGAACAAAAGGGUAAAAUCUCAUUUUAUUUUGAUUUUCAGUAUGAAUACAAACCGUGAAAGCAUGGUCUAUCGAUCCUUUAGAUUUUCGGAAUUUGAAGCCAGAGGUGUCAGAAAAUAUACCACAAGGAUAACUGGCUUGUGGCAGCCAAGCGUUCAUAGCGACAUUGCUUUUUGAUCCUUCGAUGUCGGCUCUUCCUAUCAUUGUGAAGCAGAAUUCACCAAGUGUUGGAUUGUUCACCAACCAAUAGGGAAUGUGGGCUGGGUUUAGACCAUCAUGAGAUAGGUUAGUUUUACCCUACUGAUGAACCACACCGCAAUAGUAAUUCAACUUAGUACGAGAGGAACUGUUGAUUCACACAAUUGGUCAUCGCGCUUGGUUGAAAAGCCAGUGGCGCGAAGCUACCAUGUGUCAGAUUAUGAUUGAACGCCUCUAAGUCAAAAUCCACACUGGAAGUGGUGCAUAUCACUCUUCGACUGUAUCUCGACCCACAGUAGGGAAAUCUCUUUGUCGCCCCUAGGGGCCUGUGUCAUUUGCAAACUGUGACUAUGAAGCAUCUCGGUCGAGGCAACUUUGAAGUUCAAUUCCAAACAGUCAUUGAGAAGAAU